GAUGAACGCUGGCGGCGUGCCUAAUACAUGCAAGUCGAGCGAACAGACGAGGAGCUUGCUCCUCUGACGUUAGCGGCGGACGGGUGAGUAACACGUGGAUAACCUACCUAUAAGACUGGGAUAACUUCGGGAAACCGGAGCUAAUACCGGAUAAUAUAUUGAACCGCAUGGUUCAAUAGUGAAAGACGGUUUUGCUGUCACUUAUAGAUGGAUCCUCGCCGCAUUAGCUAGUUGGUAAGGUAACGGCUUACCAAGGCAACGAUGCGUAGCCGACCUGAGAGGGUGAUAGGCCACACUGGAACUGAGACACGGUCCAGACUCCUACGGGAGGCAGCAGUAGGGAAUCUUCCGCAAUGGGCGAAAGCCUGACGGAGCAACGCCGCGUGAGUGAUGAAGGUCUUCGGAUCGUAAAACUCUGUUAUUAGGGAAGAACAAAUGUGUAAGUAACUAUGCACGUCUUGACGGUACCUAAUCAGAAAGCCACGGCUAACUACGUG
rnacentral:rRNA from 1 species